rnacentral:lncRNA from 1 species
AAGUGAAAUACAAAAUUUUGAUAAGACAUAACUAGUACUAUGUUCACAAGAGUAAGAGUGGCAAAGGGGGGGUUAAUGGUCUCCCCCCAAAGUACCUCAUAUUCUCUUGUCUGAUGUAUCAUAAUGAGAGCAUUUCUUAUCUUCCUUUACUAUGAAGUCAUAAAGCAAGUCACCAGCCUCAAAAAAAAAAAAAAAGCACAGCUCUUGAUAUCAAGGGACAUCUAAUUUAUGUUCUAAUAGUAACAGUCUGUGUACUGGUAAAAUGAAUUCACUUCUAAUAUUUUCACAUUACUGGUAACAUAGAAAAGGAAUAUUUGUGGCUAUAGACACACAAAAUAGAAAUCCAGGGUAGCAAACUUACAAUCUGCAUAUCAAAAAGGUAUUUCUCCAACUGUGUUUUCUAUGUAGGCUAUUAACAAAACUACAUAGAAACUAUGUCUAAAAAUAAGUAGUCUUACAUUUUGCAAUUCCCUAAAUGCUACCCAUAAACAAUUUGUAAAAUACAGAGGAAAAACAAAUCUGAUGAAAUCAAGAUGUUAAGUUUUUAAAAAUGAAUGAUAAUUUGAAUGUAGAUAGCAUGGAAGGAAGUUUUCCAACCCUUGGUUUAAAAAAAAAAAAAAUCCAGGUAAAGCACAAAGGCAAUGAGAAUUAACCAAUAGGAAAAAAGGC